ensembl:snRNA U6 U6 spliceosomal RNA
GUGCUCGCUUUGGCAGCACAAAUCCUAAAACUGGAACAAUACAGAGAAGAUUAGCAUGGCCCCUGCACAAGGAUGACAUGCAAAUUCAUGAAGCAUUCCAUAAUUUU